rnacentral:rRNA from 1 species
CCUACGGGAGGCAGCAGUGAGGAAUAUUGGUCAAUGGACGAGAGUCUGAACCAGUCAAGUAGCGUGAAGGAUGACUGCCCUAUGGGUUGUAAACUUCUUUUAUAUGGGAAUAAAAUGUUCCACGUGUGGGUUUUUGUAUGUACCAUAUGAAUAAGGAUCGGCUAACUCCGUGCCAGCAGCCGCGGUAAUACGGAGGAUCCGAGCGUUAUCCGGAUUUAUUGGGUUUAAAGGGAGCGUAGGUGGAUUGUUAAGUCAGUUGUGAAAGUUUGCGGCUCAACCGUAAAAUUGCAGUUGAAACUGGCAGUCUUGAGUACAGUAGAGGUGGGCGGAAUGCGUGGUGUAGCGGUGAAAUGCUUAGAUAUCACGAAGAACUCCGAUUGCGAAGGCAGCUCACUGGACUGCAACUGACACUGAGGCUCGAAAGUGUGGGUAUCAAACAGGAUUAGAUACCCGAGUAGUC